UUCUUUGAAAAGAAAUUUAGAACUCAUACCUAACAACUCUUCCUCUUGUAUUUCCUUACAGCUUUCUUUUCAAACUUUUUAAACAUGUCUUAGCUUAGUUGUUUUGCUUGAUUUUCCAAAAGAAGAAGCUUCUCUGGAUAAGGUGGAGGAUAGCUAAGGGAGGUUUUAGUAAGUGCCGUUUUUAUGAACCUCUGCAUCGACUUACGGAUGCAUGGUAUGACACAGCACCCGACAAGAAUAAGUAUACCUAUUACGGGUGUGAGGUAAAUUCUUAAGACUCAUCUGCAGAAUGUCUCUUAGGCUGCAUAAAAUACAGACUUUGCACAAAACUUGGUCUAAAAUGAGUAACUUGAAAAAAUUAUUCUCCUACUGACAUCAGCUCGUUGAGCUUUAAUUGUGCCUCUGAUUUACAUGAGAAAACAUAAAAGGGAGUAGAAAGUUACAAUUAAAGGAAGGAAAACAGUCCCUUUCAGCUACUGCCACAGAUCUAUUGUACAGAAUACUUCUCUAUGGAAUACUUCCUCUAUGGCCACAGGCCAGUUCCACUCAGCACUCCUCUCUUUGAAGAGGCCACAAAUCUGACUAAUUUUCAUUUAACUUCAUGGGGCAAGGAAGGGGGCUUCACAGAAUUUCCUAAUCUGUUUCUCUUUAUCAAAUACAUAAUCACUUUUUCUAUCUGCUGAAAAAUAAACCUGCAACAAAAUGAUCAAGACAGUAGAAAAUGCUGUUAUUAUAUUAUUUGAUUGGAGAGCAAAGGCUAAUUUUUGUUUCCUAUUAUAUUCCUUUUGAUUACUAGCACAUGGCAACACUCUGAACACAGUAGGUGCUUUUUGUGUCUAUUAAACUGGAUUUGAGGUGGCACCUGCUCUGUACAUACAUGCCUUUGGUUUGUUUCUUUUUUGCUUUUCAAAAGAUUCCUAUGCUUCCUCAGUGUUGAGACUACUUUUUCUGUUUUCUUUCUCUGGGAUUCAGAGACACUGAGUUCUGCUCCUGGAGUUAUUUAUAGUUUUGGUAGCUAGGUCUCACAUACCUCCUUUGUGCUUCCAAGAGUGUUGUAGGAGUAUAUGUUCUGUCACUGCAGAUGAUCUGUUUUCAUCAUAUUAACAAGGAGAUGGCUGACUAGGUGCUGUGCUUCCCUUUUAGUUGUUCCUUUAUAUUUUUAUGAAUUAAUUUCUGUUUACUUUUGAUAAUUUUCUUAACAGACAUUUGUGCCUCUAUGCAAUCAUAUGUGUCUGUUCCCAUAAGCAGCAGCUUAGUCAAUCACUCAGGGAAAUACAUGCAUCUCUAUGCAUUCACCAGACUGAAGUUCUCCCAGAAACAAGCCCCUGUGCUUCAUUAAACUAUUGAUUUGGUUGUCAUAGAUCAGCUGAAAUGUAUAUCCUUAAAAUGAAGGGAAGUCUCAUGAAGCACUUACACUUAUUAUCUGUUUAUCUAAAAAAAUCAGCAUGUAAAAUUCUGACUUAAGGUUAAAAUUUUCUCUGAAGGGUCAACAUUCCAAAUUUUUACUUAGAUUAUUAGUUAGCUGCUCUGUUGAAUUCUCCCCUCUACCUUAUAGAAAUAAAAUAUUUUGGUUGUUGUUGUAAGAAAGAAUCCAUCAUAUCCAUAUAAAGCACCAAGCCACAUGUUUAGCAAUUGUUUCCAAUAACAAAGUAUGAAACUUGAGAAUGACCUUGGAAGUAGAAAGAUAACUAGUCCCAUGACUAUUAUGCCUAUAUUGUGCCUAUUAUGGGCCACUUGCAGUACUAGACCCCCUACAUGCAUUAUAUCAUUUUAUCCUCCCAACAUCUGACAAUGAAAGAAAUGAAGGCAAAAAGAUUAACUUGGGCAUAUGCUAGCAAGUAGCAGAGCUAGGAAUCAUAUCAAGUUUUUCCUAAGUAUGAAAUUGUUAUUUCUGGAGACAUCUCUCCAUUUAUCCCACAUAUUCUGAUUUGUAUAGUUUGGGGAGUGAGAGGUAGUUUUCCAUAUUUUAAUGUAUAUAAAUGACCUAUGCAGAACUCAAAGGCAGAAUUAACAAGGAAGUGAAAAUAGUUUUAUUCUUCUAAUAUCAUGUAUUUCCUUAUAUAUUAAGGAAGAAUUGGUCUCUGUUUAGCAUAACCAUUAUUAAAAAUAUUUAUGUGAGAAAAAAUGUGUCUGGAACUGUUAGAAAUAUACAAUUAAAUAUGUUAUUUGUCCACUUUAUAUGAUAUUUAUGCUAUAUGUGUCUAUUUCUCCUCCUUGCUUUUUAGGUUAUCAGCAUGAAAAUCAGCCUCUGUUUCUAAGAAAUUCUAAAAAUAUUACUCACCUAUGCCUAUCAUGUCCUGCCACAUUAUAAUCUUGGUUACAGCUCUCAAAAUGUCAGAGCAGAUCAUGAACUAAAGAUGUGUCAUAGCCACGGAAGCCCUAGUCUGGCAGGAAAGAAGAGUCAUUAGGCAUCAUCUGGCAACUUGGCUUGGAGAAGUCAGAUCAGUCACCAAGAGUCUGGUGGGGCUGCAGCAAUGGCUAGAAAGAACCAGUGACAUGAUUGCCAGAUAGAGUGGUCAGAGAAGACCUUUCUGAGGCCAUGGUAUUUAAGAUGAGACUUGAAGAGCAACAAGAAGCUAGACACACAAAGCAGAUAAUUUUUUAAUGGCCAUUUCUGGAGAGAAGUUUCCAAGGGAUGAAGUUAUUAUACAGUUUCCAAAUAUUCCUGAAGAGGUCUAAAGAAAAUGUAUUCUGAUUCCACCUUUUACCUGUUUUCCUUUUUUUUUUUCUCUCUCUCUCUUUUUGGAAUUUGUUAUUUGGAUAUAGGAUACACUAGGCUGGUGCUCCAAUUUUCUUAUAUUUUCUGUUUUCCUUGAAGUUUUAGGGGACUUUCUGAACUUUAUUUUUCAAAAUUCAGUUGAGUCUUUAUUGUUUUCCAAAUAUCAACAUUUCUUACCCAGACUAAUGAACUAGCCUACUCACUCAUCUUUCUGAUCCUAUUCCUCUAUAUUAUCCACCCCAAUCCCAAGUUAAUUCUUGUAUGGUCUUUUUGAAAGACUGCAUGAGGUUUUUUGUUUUUAUUUCUGCUUAAAUUAUUUGCUGAUUUAUUUGCACUUAGGAUACAGGCCUAAAUCCUUAGCUUUGCUGACAUCAUGAAAGAUGUGGGCCCUCCCUAGCACUCCAGUUUCAUCUUACAUCAUGCCACUCUUUGGUACUUUAUCCUUACUGUCCAGCUUCAUUUCCUAGAGUGUCCUGUGACCCUCUUGACUCAGAGCCUCUGCACGUGCUGUUCCCUGUGUUUGUCUCCUUUGUCCAGCUCUACCAACUUCCUUUAUCUCUCAGUGUUCAGGUGUCAUCUCAUCUCCAGCAUGAAUUAGAUGUCUUAUCUUGUGCUUCUCAUUGGGCUAUACUGUAAUGCUUAGCACAUUAGUCAGUUCCCUCAUUGCUAUAAAGAAAUACCUGAGGCUGGGUAAUUUAUAAAGAAAGGAGGUUUAAUUGGCUCACAGUUCUGCA
rnacentral:lncRNA from 1 species